UUCGGGAUAGCCACUGGAAACGGUGAUUAAUACCGGAUACUCCUUCUUGUUAUAAGACAAGUCGGGAAAGUUUUUCGCUAAGGGAUCAGUCUAUGUUCCAUUAGCUUGUUGGUGAGGUAAUGGCUCACCAAGGCUAUGACGGAUAUCUGGUUUGAGAGGAUGAUCAGACACACUGGAACUGAGACACGGUCCAGACUCCUACGGGAGGCAGCAGUGAGGAAUAUUGCACAAUGGAGGAAACUCUGAUGCAGCAACGCCGCGUGGAGGAUGACGCAUUUCGGUGUGUAAACUCCUUUUAUUAGGGAAGAUAAUGACGGUACCUAAUGAAUAAGCACCGGCUAACUCCGUGCCAGCAGCCGCGGUAAUACGGAGGGUGCAAGCGUUACUCGGAAUCACUGGGCGUGAAGGGUGCGUAGGCUGGCUUUUAAGUCAGAUGUGAAAUCCAAUGGCUCAACCAUUGAACUGCAUUUGAAACUGAAAGCCUAGAGUUCAGAAGGGGCAGAUGGAAUUAGUGGUGUAGGGGUAAAAUCCGUAGAUAUCACUAGGAAUAUCAAAAGCGAAGGCGAUCUGCUGGGAUGAU
rnacentral:rRNA from 1 species